CUAUGCAAGUUUGUCUGGAUAGGCCCUUAAGGCCUGAUAUGAAUUAAUUUCAGAGGUUGAGGACAUUGGCUCGACAAUAACAUUGGUGGAUUUGAUUAUUCCUGGAGUCUCCUUUGUUGUUAAUUUUUCAGGUGCAGUUCGGAGAUGGUGUUUCGCUGGUUUGGAUGCUAUCUUUUUUGUUGACGGGUCCACGUGCAAGGUGUAGUAGUAGAUGUAGUAGUAGAUGUGUGACAGAACUCCAGAUGGCUCCGAGUAAAUGCAUGCUGCAUCCAUAUGCUGUAUGUAAGGCGUAUCCGUGGAUAGCUGUAUCGACCACAAGUUUAAUAAUGCGGACGAUUAGCAGGAUGCCGAAUAUUCCAGCGGUUGCGGAAUCAAAGGUGACAAACCCUUUCCAUACUCGGGAAGCAGUAUUAUCAACUAUUUUAUUGAGCGAGGCUUCAUCCAAUAAGCUGUACAUCGAGAUAGCAUCUCCGUUGAUAGAAUGGCCGAAUAUAUUCCACUGAUAGCGAGUGGACCUAACAUUAAGUAUUUCCAGGAUAAAGUUGUCAUGGGUUGCAGUUGCUGCGGAGCUGCUUGUCUGACUUGUGCAUCAGGUGUGAACUGCACCCAGGUGUCCUCGAUACGAUACAUAGUAGGUAGUUCAUAACUACAUUCACAUUGAUUCCUAAAUUUAGUGACUAUUCGAGAUUUGGGAGUCAGGAAGAAUGAGGAGUUACGUACAGUUAUAGGUAACUCAGCAUAACAUUCUUUAGUUUUUCUCACUAUAACGUCCACAGGUAUGCAUUUUAUAAUUUGUAUAGCUUGUCCAAUUGUUACUGCCAUGUAGCCUGGUCCCUUCAUUAAUUGAUAUGCGAAUUCAUCUGGUUGAAGAGUGGCAAAUGACAAGGCAUUAGUUAUAACCUGUCUUUCUAAUUCACAUUUCUGUUGCAUAACGUUGUGAAGGUCAUCUGAUGGCGAACAUGUUUUUCUACGUAUACAAAUUUUGAAUUCAUGUAAGCGAAGAUGUCUAGAUUGUCCACCGGGAUGAUGCCUCGACGGAAGAACGUACUUUCCUCCUUGGUUUCGAGAAUGAAUAAUUUCGGAUGUUUUGUGCUCAGUAAGAUGUAUCCGCAUAAUGGUUGUUCUCUGUUUCUCUGGUUUUGGUGAGGGCAAAGGUAAUAUCUUGCGUCGUUAAACUGUAGACGACUGAGGAUGAAGGGUCGGUCAUAUCAUCCUUAAUUACCGUUGCUGGGCUUUCGUAAAGGACGUCAUAUUGAUGGAAAUUACAAGAUGAUGUAGGCACAGAUUUCCAAUUAGUAUAUUCAUCAUCCGAGUCAAUACAGACGCUUUCGCUAAACGUACAUACAGUUCUGGAUUUUAAUAUUAUUUUUCCGGAAUUUAAUUGCACAGGGACGUGUAAAGAUUUCAUGGAUAUUUUGACUGAAGCUUGGACCACGACGUCGUCCCAGGUUCCGUAGGGGUCAGAAUACUGAGUGCCCUUAUAGCUUCCAUCAUGGCCUAUCCGUCUUCCCAGGGUGAGACUGCGAUGAGUGUUCUGGUUAGCCUUCAAUCCAUACACGAGGUUUCCGACUCCUAGGGAGAGCGUUCCAUCUUGGAACAUCCUUAAACAUUGUAUGUAUCCAGUUUCGUGGAUAUAGUCCGCUCUUCCGUUUUGGACUACGGAGACAUGUUUCCGGUAAUCAAGGUUACAUUCGCCAACAUCUAACAAGGAUACCGAGGUAAUGUUUAGAUGUUGUCCACCGCAAUCGAAUCCGAUGAGAGCGUCGGUGGCCCUUAUAAUGAUUACUAUCGCAAGGCGAUGCGCCGUGGUGUACGCAUGGAAGCAGCGCUCACAGGAAAGGAUCGAUUGAAUUUUUGUUUCUACGGGUUUUUUGCAUUUCUUGCACUGAAUCUCUCGGACACGUCCUUUAACAAAUGCGUGACUAUGAAAAGGUACAAAGAGAGCCUUAAGCGAAGGUGCUAAUCUGCUGCCGCUUGGGGGACAAUCACCGCAAUAUAGAGCUUCAUAGCCUGGCAGUUGUUCUCCGAUUCUUUGUACGCACUUUACCGCGUACAAUCCGGAAAAAUCCCGCAAUAAUUAAUGGAUUUUAGGUUUGUAAGCUACUGGGAUGCACAUUCUAAAGAAAAAGGAGAGGUCGCAAACUUGGUUAAAUAAAUUUGUCAAAUAAACUUGGUAAGUGGGUUCAAGAUUUGCAUCGAUUGGUACAUGAGCAGAAGGUAGUCGUGCUAUAUGACCGAAGACUAAUUCGAAAGAUUGUGAAUUGUACGGAGAAAAUUUGGAUAGUGGGGAUAACGCAUCUUCAAUCACGUCGGGUCUUUGACGUUCGGAAGAAAUCGAGUUGUUAGAGGAAUCAUCGGAGUUAUUAGCAGCGAAAAAAGAUACAACACAAUUGGCAGGAGGAUUUCUAGAUAAGGCAUCGAGGAAGGAUCUUUAAUUGAGUGAAGUCAAACUAAUGGUUUGUGAUCGGUUAUGAUGAUGAACGUUCUUCCGUAUAAAUAAGGCCGGAAAUGGUUAACGCGGUAAACUAUUGCCAAGCGCUCUUUUUCAAUUGUGGAAUAACGUUGUUCAGCACCGUUUAAAAUACGAGAAGUAUAGGCUAUUGUUGCAGGGGCGUUUUUUAAACCGAAGGGCAUUCUUUUAAAUUGCUAAUGCCCAUAAGGAGUUGAAAAAGCAGUUUUGGGAGCAUCCUUGGAAGACAUGGGAAUUUGAUGGAAUCCAGAAGCUAAAUCGAGAACAGAAAAAUAUUUGGCAGACCCUGAUUGAUCAAGGAUAUCGGUUAGGGAGAGGAUAAGCGUCUCCUAUUGUUUUUUCGUUAAGGCGACGGUAAUCUAUGACUAUUCGCCAUCUCUUAUUACCGUAAGAAUCCGGUUUUUUGGGUACUAUCCAUACGGGGGAAUUAUAAGGAGAGGUAGAAUAUUCGAUUAAAUCAUGAGACAAAAGUUCGUUAACUUGUUUGUUAAUUUCGUCCUUAUGUAUCGGAGGAAAUCGGCAUUGUUUCGUAUGGAUAGGGAUUUCGUCCGUAGUAGGUAUGAAAUGUUGAGUAGCGUUAGUAGCUUCGAGUUUGUCAUGAGGGAGAUGAAAUCUAUCAGACUGAUUAAGAAUUAACGAUUUGACAUUAUCAGAUUCCUCGGAAUUUAAAUGUUCUAACCGCAAAAGUUGCAUAAGCGGACGCGCGGUCGCAGUAAACUUCCUCAGAAGUAUUGUUAUUUUGAGUCUCGAUAAAAUACAGAGGGUUUUCGAAAAUGUUUAUAGUAUGAUUACUAAUCACUGGGAGUUCUAAGGUCGCGGUGAUAUCUUUAAAAUCGGUUUUCUUACAAGAGGUCAUAAUUGGAUUAUGAGAAUUACCAGUCCCCUUACUAGUCUCAUUCCUUCGGGAUUCGAUGACAUUACAUGGGAAUGUGAAUUCGUUAAGAAAAUAGAAGUCUUGUAAGUCAACCACGGGAACCUCUAUAUCGUAUUCUGAUUCAGAAGUAUUAAAAAUAGGUAGAUAAGCUUUUCCAUUAGUGUUCUUAACGGGGAUUGCCCGAUUAGACACAGUACGAUUAGACACAGUACGAUUAGACACAGCCAAUCAUAUCGACCGAUGCCUAGGGUAACCAGCACGAUCAAGCACGAUUAGCCAAUCAAAGCCAGUUGAGUCUAAUUGUACUGUGUCUAAUCGGAGGUGUCUCUUCUUAACAAUAGCAUCUCCGAAAUAAACUUUUUCGAACGGUAUAAAGCGCGGUAUAUAUCCGUAUUGUUUUUCGGAAUUAACAACAUGGACAAAAAAUGGUAACAGACCGUUUCUUGAUAUGAAUAAGAGUUGUUUCUACAAAUGAAAUGCUCGAGUCAUCAUAAUGCAGCAAUUUGUUUUUAUAAUCUACUUUAGCCAUUCGUUUCUUUAAAAAUACAUUCCCCAAGAUACCAUCCUGAGGAAAACUGACCGUAUCUGAAAUCACGUAAAAAUUAGUGGGUCGGUUAAGUAAAAGAAUAGUAACAAAGCUCAGAAUAGGGACAGGUUUAGAAGAUAUACCUUGAAGAGAUAAUGUUUUUUCGUUAUUUAUAAUAAUGUUUGCUUAAUGAGGUGUUGUUUUAUUAGGUUAACACUGGAGCCAGAGUCGAUCAUGAAAGAGCAUUUAUUCUUUAAGUCAGUAGAAGAAAGAAUGACGGAAGGUAGACUAUUAUAUUUUGCGUUUUUCAUUUAUUGAUUCGGUACAGGAGAUAGGACAGUUGUAGAGGUUUGAGGUAGCACAAUGAUUAUGGGGGCUUGUUGAGGACGUCCGAUUUGAGCUUUGUUCCGGCGGACGUCGAUUGUUAUCGGAACGCUCUGUGCGUUUCCCAGGUUAUUUUGAUUAUUAUUAGUAGAGAAUCGCGAAGGAUUAUUUUCAACCGAUCGCCUAUAAGCGAGUUUCCGACAUUCGAUUAGGUGUCCAGGAGCUUUGCAAUAUCGGCAAAUUUUUCUAGCAGGAAAAUUAGGACCGAGUAUUCCGGGAACGAGGGGUUUUAUAAAGGGAGUUGCGCUAGUCCGGGGAGGUAAUUGUUGAGGAUUAUUACUGGGUGUUUGGUUAAUAGAUUGAGAGGGCUUUGUGAAAUCUGCACGAGGCGAGGUAUUAGGUUUAUAAGAUGAUGCAGUUCGUUUGCGCGCAUAUUUUCUGCUUCCAAAGUUUUAGAAAGUUGUAUAGCGGAUAUAAUAGCGUCGUCUAACGAGGAAUAUCUUUCUAAUUUAACACGGAUUAGAAGAUCGGAAGGAAGACCGUUUACAAAAUUAUCUUUAACACUCAUUUCAAUUUGAUGUUUUACAAUUUUAUCAAUAUAUCCACUAGGACUAGUUUCUCCAUCGAUAAUAGCAGUGCGUAAUUCUUUUACUCUUCCAAUGUAAUCAAAAAUAUUUUCAUUCGGUUUCAUAUAAAUGUUUGCUAAUUCACCGCGAUAUUGAUCGGUAGAUUUAUUGGGGCCGAAAAUACUUUUCAAUCGUUUGGUUAGUUCGAUAAUAGUUUCGUAUUCUGUGCCCUCGAUAGCGGCAUAGGCAUGUCCUUGUAGUUUAUUAAUUAUUAAUUGUACUAAAUGAUAUUCCUGAUAACAAGGAAUUAAUUCUAAAGCUCGUUCACAUGCUUUAGUGAAAUGGAACAUCGAAAUAUUGUGUCCGUCAUAUCUCGGAAUCGAAUCAACUACAUCUUUAAAACGAAUCGGAGAAGUGUCUGUCGGAUUGGAUCUAUAAGUGGGAUUUCUUACGGGGAUGUGGUCGUAAGUUGUCUGUAGGAGGUAAAUCUGCAUUUGAAUUGGAAAGUUGGGCGACGCGUUGAUUUAAAUUUUCUAUUUGGAAAGGUAAGGAACUUAAAGCAGAGAUUUGUUCUUGCAGUGUGUUUAGUAUUAUAUCAAUCUGUCCAUUACCAGCAUUCGCAUUUUUAAUCUCGAUAUUUUGUUGUAAUAUAGUUAAUUCCUGUUGUUUAACUUGUAAAGCUUGAGCUUGUUCCUUUAGCAUUUUCUCUUUCUCAGCUACUCUUUUAUUAAGUAUUUCUAAUUCCGCGCGACUUACGCUAUCGCUUGACUCAGAAGGUUGAUCGUAUAUUAGGCAUGAUUAUAUGAUAAACUUUAGGUAUUUAGAGUUAUAUGUAUUCGCGUGCUUUUAUUUAUCCGUGAAAAUCUUCGUCAAUUCUUUGGUUAUACCACCGCUGCCACCAAAAUUUUACGAUGUCACUCAGUGACUUACUUUUCCCCUAGAUACCCCGGUUCUAAAGUAAAGUGCACUCUCUUUAUUUUCAAGGCAACCUGCUUACACCGGCUAUACCUUGGGGAUGCCGAGAGCGAGGAUCUGACUUGUCGAUAACGGAAAAAUAAGGAAUCCGCGAAACUUUAUGAUAGGAUAAAUUGAUUAAAUAAGAUGAGAUUAUUUGACAUAUAUACGUGUGUAAUAAGUAUCUAUUAGAAUGGAAUUUCAAAAUUCUCUAUUAAUUCCAUUAGUUGAUCGAUAUCAAUAUCACCUGCGAUAUAUUGAUCUAUGAAUUCUAAUAAUAUUUCAAGAAUUUGAGCUUGCUCAUUGGCUGUUAGGGUGAAAAAAUCUUUAUCGUCGCACGAAGGUUUCAUUGGAGAGUCUGUAAAUAAUUCUCUAUCUCACACUGGUUUUCCGGUAACUGAGAUUUUAAUUGAGUUAUUAGAUUCGCUAGUUCUGAGGAAGGGCUUUCAAUAAUAUCUUUAUAUUUAAUAAUCUCUAAGUAAUAGUUAUAAAAAGAGUCAAAUUCUACGUUUGUAGUAAUUGGUUGACAAAAUUUCUGCGAAGUAAAAUUUUCUGGUAAAUAAAAAAGAAAUUUAGCUUUGAUCGUUAAAGCGGAUAUAAAAUUUUCAGAAAGGAAAACCCUUCUAUCUGAUUUGACGUAAUUAGGGUUUGAGUUAGCUUUUAAUUUUUUAUUUCAACGGAAUCGAGAAAUAUCACGAUAUUCACGGAUUAUUUUACCUGCUCUAUGCUUUUUCUUUUUAGAUUUUAAUUGUGAAUUCACCAUUUAAGGAAUUGAUUGAGGAAAUUAGUGUGUAUUUGUUUUUGUUAUUGUUAUUAUCUGAGUUAGCGUCAGUUCAAGUUAUUAAAUUGUGCAAUUAACUUUUGCGAUUUUAGUUCAACUGAAACGUCAAUAAAUUAUAAGGAUAUGAAUGUCUCCGGCAUGACAAAGGAUGCCGGAGACGACGGGACUUUUAAGGCGGAGUAACGUUAUGAUAACGGAGUUUGCAUAAGAGUAAGGAAAUUAGGAUGCAUCCAGAGGCAUGACAGAAGAUGCCCGGAAGCGACGGAAAAAGGGAGAAAGAACAAGAAGGUUUUCAGGCGGUACCGCGAAGAUGCUGUAUCCCUGUAUAAGGAAAGACGUUUGAGUUGAUAGCAGUAGAUUAUAUAAUUUCAAAUUUAGUUUAUAUAUUUCGUGAAGCGCCGGUUAACGAAUUAAUUUAGGAAGUUGGAUGCCUCCGGCAUGACAGUGGAUGCUCGGACGAUGGAAAUCUGGGGUCGGCUAAAGCUAGUAAUGAAUUUUUUUGGAGUAAAAAUAGGAGAGUGCGGACGUCUCCGGCAUGACAGAGGAUGCCUGGAAAGAUCCAAGAGAAGGAGACACUCGACGCUUAACGGAUGAAAGCUUUAUAAUAAUGUGUAGUGAAUGCAAGGAACGAAUAAUUGAGUUUGAAAACGAAAGAAUAAAAUAAAGAAUGUAAAGGAAUCUGGAAUCUACUUACUACUCAGAGGUGGAUUUCUGUUGAUCGUGGUCGCCUUCGUAUACGCGAGGUUUGGGUCUCUUCAAAAAUUGAAACGGUAGAUAUGCACAAUUAUAAUUCUUUUAUUUGAAUUUGACCGAAUGAUAUAGCAAAUUGAUACAAAAGUAUAGUUUAAUUAUUACGAAUAGCAAGAAUAUAAAAGUAAUAGCGACGAAAUGACACUGACAAAAGCGACUGACAGCGAGUCUUUUUUACUGACUAAUUAUUACUACUGUUCGCUCGCGCCCGAAAUCCGGGGUUUAUAUAUUAGUAAUUCCUUUGUUCCUUACAUGAUCUUUUGCUAAAGGAAUUCCCGAGUAAGGUGAUCUCUUCAUCGGACCACGUCGUACUCGGAAGCACCACCGAAUUUCUUAUCAAUUGUUUAGACAUAGAUAUCUUUUUCAUUGAGGCGCGGCGGUGAUCAAAGAGUAAUGCGUGAAUUUCAUCAGAAGUGUCGGUCGACAUCUCCGAAAAAUCGAUGUUUGACAUAUUUAUGACUUCCUCUUUGAUUACCUCACGCAAAAGUUAUGUGCUCUUAAUUUCAAUACUAAUAUCUAACGCUAUCGAUAUUAAAAUUAUAGAAUCGUUAUAUAUGUAUAACUUCUCUUAUAUUUUAGAAAAGAUUUAGAAAUAUAACUCAAUUUAGAUAGAAUAAUCGAAUUUAAAUUACAGCAUAUAAAGGAAAUUAUUUACACUGGUUGUAAAUUCAUAAUGAGUUUAAA